rnacentral:rRNA from 1 species
GACAGAGGGUGCAAACGUUGUUCGGAAUUACUGGGCGUAAAGCGCGUGUAGGCUGCUCGGAAAGUCGGAUGUGAAAGCCCUGGGCUCAACCUAGGAAGUGCAUUCGAAACUUCCGAGCUGGAGUGCUGGAGAGGAAGGCGGAAUUCUCGGUGUAGAGGUGAAAUUCGUAGAUAUCGAGAGGAACACCGGUGGCGAAGGCGGCCUUCUGGACAGUGACUGACGCUGAGACGCGAAAGCGUGGGGAGCGAACAGG